GAUGAACGCUGGCGGCGUGCUUAACACAUGCAAGUCGAACGGUGAACGAGGGAGCUUGCUCCCUCCGGAUCAGUGGCGAACGGGUGAGUAACACGUGAGCAAUCUGCCCUGGACUCUGGGAUAAGCGUUGGAAACGACGUCUAAUACCGGAUACGAGGCGUGGGGGCAUCCCCAACGCCUGGAAAGAACUUCGGUCCAGGAUGAGCUCGCGGCCUAUCAGGUAGUUGGUGAGGUAACGGCUCACCAAGCCGACGACGGGUAGCCGGCCUGAGAGGGUGACCGGCCACACUGGGACUGAGACACGGCCCAGACUCCUACGGGAGGCAGCAGUGGGGAAUACUGCACAAUGGGCGCAAGCCUGAUGCAGCAACGCCGCGUGAGGGACGACGGCCUUCGGGUUGUAAACCUCUUUUAGCAGGGAAGAAGCGAAAGUGACGGUACCUGCAGAAAAAGCACCGGCUAACUACGUGCCAGCCGCCGCCGUAACAC
rnacentral:rRNA from 1 species